CUGCUUAUUUCUCCUCUCUCAGACAGCACACCUAGUAAAAACAGCAUCCAAGAUUGGUGGUGGCAAAUUGGUGGUGGCUAGUGGUGACAUCACCACUAGCACUAGCAUCCAAGCUCUGAUACAAAUGGAUAAGGUUCUAAGUCAGUAAGAGCAGAAGCUGUGUCCGGCCAUCUGCGUCUGAAAACCAUCUACAACACACAAUUGGCAGAUGAGAAAUUUAAAAAGGAUGAGGUCAUUAAACUGUCUCACUGGAAACAUGAUUCCACUCUUUCAGACAGAAAACCGACUAGCCCAGGAGACUUUCACCAAAGUACUGAAGGAUCUGAUGCAUGGGCUCAUUGCCUGAGCCCUACAGUCUUGAGUCAAAAAAAUCUACCAGGAGGACAAGAAAGGUCUAGUCUGUGAACCACUUGGUCGGAAAGGUCCCGUUUUUAAAAAAAAAAAAAAAAAGGACCCACUUUAAGAAAGGUCUUGCUCAAAGUGCCCUGGCUGGCUGGCUCUAAGACAGACUGCCAGCAA